rnacentral:rRNA from 1 species
AAUAUUGGACAAUGGGUGAAAGCCUGAUCCAGUCAUCCCGUGUGAAGGAUGACGGUCCUAUGGAUUGUAAACUUCUUUUGUACAGGAAUAAACCUACUCUCGUCAGAGUAGCUGACUGUACUGUCCGAAUAAUCACCGGCUUACUCCGUGCCAGCAUCCGCGUUGAUCCGGCGGGUGCAAGCGUUAUCCGGAUUUAUUGGGUUUAAAGGGUCCGUAGGCGGACCCGUAAGUCAGUGGUGAAAACUCAUAGCUUAACUAUGAAACUGCCAUUGAUAAUGCGGGUCUUGAGUAAAUUUGAAGAGGCUGGAAUAAGUAGUGUAGAGGUGAAAUGCAUAGAUAUUACUCAGAACACCAAUUGCGAAGGCAGGUCACUAAGAUUUAACUGACGCUGAUGGACGAAAGCGUGGGUAGCGAACA